rnacentral:rRNA from 1 species
GACGAACGCUGGCGGCGUGCUUAACACAUGCAAGUCGAGCGGUAAGGCCCUUUCGGGGGUACACGAGCGGCGAACGGGUGAGUAACACGUGGGUGACCUGCCUUCAGCUCUGGGAUAAGCCUGGGAAACUGGGUCUAAUACUGGAUAUUACUCUGCGGUGCAUGCCGUGGGGUGGAAAGCCUUGUGCGGCUGGGGAUGGGCCCGCGGCCUAUCAGCUUGUUGGUGGGGUGAUGGCCUACCAAGGCGACGACGGGUAGCCGGCCUGAGAGGGCGACCGGCCACACUGGGACUGAGACACGGCCCAGACUCCUACGGGAGGCAGCAGUGGGGAAUCUUGCGCAAUGGGCGAAAGCCUGACGCAGCGACGCCGCGUGAGGGAUGACGGCCUGG